GUCAACUACCCACCCCUAAAGGGGUGGGCUUGUAGUUCAAGCUCCCAUCCGGGCAGACCACAAUAGGCUGGUUGACA
rnacentral:ncRNA from 1 species